rnacentral:rRNA from 1 species
UACGUAGGGUGCGAGCGUUGUCCGGAAUUAUUGGGCGUAAAGAGCUCGUAGGCGGCUUGUUGCGUCGACCGUGAAAACCCGGGGCUCAACUUCGGGCUUGCGGUCGAUACGGGCGGGCUAGAGUUCGGUAGGGGAGACUGGAAUUCCUGGUGUAGCGGUGAAAUGCGCAGAUAUCAGGAGGAACACCGGUGGCGAAGGCGGGUCUCUGGGCCGAUACUGACGCUGAGGAGCGAAAGCGUGGGGAGCGAACAGG